AUUUUUCUAAUAUAUACAGUACAUUUGACUUCCAAUCAAAAAGAUUAAUUUCUAUUAAGAAAAAUA
rnacentral:tRNA from 1 species